rnacentral:rRNA from 1 species
UGGGGAAUUUUCCGCAAUGGGCGAAAGCCUGACGGAGCAAUACCGCGUGAGGGAUGAAAGCCUGUGGGUUGUAAACCUCUUUUCUCAAGGAAGAAGUUCUGACGGUACUUGAGGAAUAAGCAUCGGCUAACUCUGUGCCAGCAGCCGCGGUAAUA